AGCGAACGCUGGCGGCAGGCCUAACACAUGCAAGUCGAACGGAUCCUUCGGGAUUAGUGGCGGACGGGUGAGUAACACGUGGGAACGUGCCUUUUGGUUCGGAACAACUCAGGGAAACUUGAGCUAAUACCGGAUGUGCCCUUCGGGGAAGGAUUAUCGCCAUUAGAGCGGCCCGCGUCUGAUUAGCUAGUUGGUGAGGUAAAGGCUCACCAAGGCUACGAUCAGUAGCUGGUCUGAGAGGAUGAUCAGCCACAUUGGGACUGAGACACGGCCCAAACUCCUACGGGAGGCAGCAGUGGGGAAUCUUGCGCAAUGGGCGAAAGCCUGACGCAGCCAUGCCGCGUGAAUGAUGAAGGUCUUAGGAUUGUAAAAUUCUUUCAGCAGGGACGAUAAUGACGGUACCUGCAGAAGAAGCCCC
rnacentral:rRNA from 1 species